GGAUGUUUACUUCCUGUGGAGAGGGGCUAACAGAAAUAGGUCGCGUCGUUCAUGAAGGAGACUGGGGCGGUUGGAAGUUGUUCGACGCCGCAAACUGUAUUCCAGGCUCUCGCAAUGGGUAUGGGAGUCGAGAUUUUAGAGGCGGCAGUCCAGAACCCAAAUUCUGCUGCCCAAAAACUGGAUAGACCUUGAAUAAUGACAGUUUGCACGCAGAUAAAUUGGUCAUAGUUAACACUACACAACGAUAACGAUAACUUGGAAACAUGCACGCGAUGUUUGGUCAAAAAAUUAUAUUGGUUUCCACACUACAACGAAAACGAUAAAUUAUCGUUUGACGAUAACGAUUUUAAAAUCGCUCACCGAUUUUUUCAGCCGGACGAUAACGAUUAUCGUAUUGUUAUUGUUGUUGUUUGUUGUGUAGUAUGGCUGGGCCUUUAAGGUGGGAGCGGCGAAAAAAUAUUGCCUGUUUGUCCUGUAUCAUUUUUUGUUUGGUCGUUGUCUAUCUUGAUGCUACCUUAAAGUGCACCUAACCUCAAUUCUUUUAGCAUCUCAUUCCUAAAAACCUUUGAAAUGAUAUUGUAACUUAUUUUAUAUUUGUGCAUGCCUAGUGAUAUUUUUUAUUUCCAGCAAUCUGAUUGGCUGCAGGAGCGGGCAGCUUUUUACGAUGUCUUGACCGUGGUCUAAAAGAGUUAUUUUUUAACGACAAACCGAGGAGCGAAGACAAUUUUCAAACUCAAAACACCACCCAAAAAAUCGAAAAAUCAACGCCAUCGAUACUAAAGAUAGUAAAAUACAGUGAAUCUAGUUACUUUAAUGGACUUAGUACCAAGCCCGAAAUGUACUUUUCUCUGACCAAAAUGCGAAAAAAAACCCAAAUAUAAACAUCGAAAAAACACUGUCCAAUUCUACAAGUUAUGAUUCAAAUGCUUCACAUAUAUUCAGC